UAGGAAGUCUUUUUACAUAGCUAUGCAAGUACUAAAAACUAUUUAAUUGAUUAAAGAAAUGAGUUUAUAAAUCAAAAGGUGAUAAACUUAAAUUCUAUGUAGCAAAUACAAAAGUUGGAAAAUAUGGAUAAAAUUUCCAAGUUUGUUAAUGUUAUGAUAAUCAUUCUUUCCCUAUUUCUUGUUUCAACGCAAAGUCAGAUUCGUGGUUCCAUUCCAUGUGUUCGAGAUCGUGAUUGUCCACAUGACACAAUUAGCAAACUAUCUAAAAGAAUGAAGUGUCGUAAAGGCUAUUGUGUAGGAACAUAAUUAUAAAGCAUCUAAUAUUAUAUGAUUGUAAAACACAAAAGAAUACACAAAUGCACGAUUUCAAGUACCUUGUUAAUUUUGUACGUACUUUUAAGAUAUGAUGCAAGUGAAAUGAAAUAAAAUAUGAAAAAUAUUAUCUA